CUGCACCUUUCUUAGACCUCAUUUAAGGGCUGACUGCCCCUGGUGAAGGGUCUCUUUUUGGAGGUCUCUUCUGGUGAGGUUUUCCUUUGCAAAUAGAGAAUCUUCUGAGAUGGCAUGUACACUCACCAUACCAAUCCACAUCGUGUGCCCCCUGCAGAGAGGUUCAGGAAGCAUUGGGAAGAAGAGCUGCUGCCUUUUGGUCUCCGAAAGACAGAAAAAAAGGAAAUAAAAAUGAGCAAGAAUUGUUUGGAGGAAUAAGUGAAGAUGAAAGAUGACUGCACAGAAAAUAAGCCCUGAGAGUCAAGCUGUAGCAUCAUGGGUUUCCCUGGGAGGAGAGGGUGCUGGGGCAGGGACCUGGGCACCCUGGGGACUGUAAGGUGCUCAGCCUGAAGAACUGGGAAGCCCCACUUUCCCCUACUGGCUGCAGCUGGGCCAGCACUCAGAUGCAUGCCCUUUUCUGCCUCAGCUGUUUUUCAUUAUUUGUUGUUGGAGAUUACUCCCCUUCACCUGCUGGGUGCACAACUAUGAUGAAGAUGAUCAGUAAUUUCACCUGCAUGUGCCAGUAGUGUUCAUAAAACAAUUGUACAGAACUAGAAGGUCUGAGCCUUCCUCCAGUGAGGUGUGGAAAUAAUGUCUUCCUUAGUGGGCCUAAUUGAAACUGGAAAAGCAGUUAUGAAUGGCCUCCAAACAAAACCUCCAGAUUCCAAGAUGUAAAGCCUCACUGAAAUGCCUGUCAUGCAAACAGCAACUUCAGUCCCUGCUUAAGACUUGCAGCUCCUGCUGUAGAUGUUAAGCUCUAAAUUCAUACAAGUUUCAGCUGCUUCCCAAUAGGCUUUGUCUGUUAUAGAGUGAUGUGGUAUCUAGUUGUUUGUAGAUUAUGAUAUGUACACUGUAAGUGGAGGUAGAAUUGUUAUACUGCUUCAUUGAACUAGGAACAUCAAAUGAGUUCACAGUCUCUUGGUACUGUUUAUACAUUUUAUGGGGCUGCCAGCUUCCAUAACUAAGCCCUGUUUUCCCUGUUUGUGCAGGAAAGGUAGGAGUUGAUAACUGGUAAUCUAAAAGAAACACUUCAUUUUGUGUAUCUUAAUGCAUAAGAUACUUUUUGAGGCUUUUGUGAACUGAAAUAUAGACAAACUGCCUAUCUAUGAAUGUCAGUAUAUUACUUGAAUAUUUUUUUCUGUAAAUCAGCCUAUAGUGUAUUGUUCACAUGAAAUAACAGUUGAGUAUUCUGUAGUCUAUUCCAUGGUGUAUUCUAACUGGUCAGUAUUCCUGAAAUACACAGGUAUCAAAUUCUC